GGAGUGUCUGUGGCUCAGUGAUGGAGCAUCUGCUUGCCAUGCUGAAGGUUCCCCGGUUCAAUCCUGGGCCUCUCCA
rnacentral:tRNA from 1 species